GAUGAACGCUGGCGGCGUGCCUAAUACAUGCAAGUCGAACGCUAAGGCUCUAGCUUUCUCGGUCGAUGGAGUGGCGAACGGGUGAGUAAUACAUAAGCAACCUACCCACGAAUUCGGGGAUAAUCUCUGAAAACGGGGACUAAUACCGAAUAGGGAAUCGGAAGACAGCUGCUGGUUGUUAAAGUUUAGCAGCACGGGUGGGUGUGCUUAUGUCGCAUUAGGUCGGUGGUGAGGUAACUGCCCACCAAGAAGAUGAUGCGUAGACGGCCUGAGAGGGUGAACGGCAACAUUGGGACUGAGCAACGGCCCAGACUCCUACGGGAGGCAGCCGUAGGGAAUGCUCGGGAAUGGGGGCAACCAUGACGGAGCAACGCCGCGUGAGUGAAGACGGCGUUCGGGUUGUAAAGCUUUGUUGUAAGGGAAGCACGGUAGAUAGAGAAUAUCUAAGUGACGGUAACUUAUAAGAAAGCCACGGCUAACUACGUG
rnacentral:rRNA from 1 species